rnacentral:tRNA from 1 species
AGCGGUGUAGUGGUUAAGCAGUUUGGCUGCGAACCAAAAGGUCAGUAGUUCAAAUCUACCAACUGCUC